AAAAAUUCACACAAAUCUAAACAAUAACAAAUGGGAUCCAAACAUUUUAAAACUUGCUUCUUGUAAAAAGCUUUUUCGACCAGAAGACAAUAAAGAAGAUGCUUUGCCAUUGUUCUGCGGACCGCGUAUACAAAUAGGUAUACAUAGAGGAGAAGCUACAUUUAAAAAAGAUGGAUCCUACUCUGGUCUUGCUGUUUUAAAAGUUGACUCAGUUGGAAAUUUUGCUCAAGGU
rnacentral:lncRNA from 1 species